GGCCCAAUGGUCCAGUGGUAAGAUACUCGCUUCGGGUUAGUUAGUAGUUCUACCCAGUCUCUCUCAAGAGAUUUGAAGUUGUGAGUGGUCCCGGGUUCGAAUCCCGGUUGGGCCC